CAACUUAUCGUCUCGUUGAGACAUUGGUUUGAUAUAGUAUAUUCGCAAUUUCAGAUUGCAUCCGCUAUUUAUCUUAUUCUUGCUUGUUCUUCGAUUGCUUGCAGGAACAAAGACCUUCGUGGUCAGGUUGAUCGUGCUCCCGCGUGAUCAAUAACCCUCUGGAGUUGGUGUAUCGAUUGCUAAGGCGUUGCCUCCUAGGCCGUAGUCGGAUCGUCAACGUCUCCUCCUACCCAAAUCGAGAGUUACCAAUCUCAUCGAAAGAUCAGGCCACCCCGACCCACAUCACGUGGUAUCAGAGCUUAAGGUUGCUCGGUGAGAUUUUUCCAGUUUAUCCAUCGUUUAGAUCUGUUUUUACCUAUCGUCUAGAAAAAGCCAAACAAAAAUUAGAAUUAGUUACCUUGUAUUAGAACCAAUCUGAGCCUUGCAAUUUUCACAUUAGUAUUUGCAUUGUUGAAUCUUUGUUGCAUUAAUCGUGUCGAGUUGCUGGAUUAGAUUGGAUCGUUUUUCAGAUUUUUUUUCUACUAGAUCGAACUUGCUUUUGAUUUUCUUGUUCUUCGUGUGACGCAGGUUUCCUUUAUCAAUCUUCCGCCGCCAAACUUCCUGCCACACCACCGCCAUAAUCUCCCGCCGCCACCAUAUCUUCCAUCGAGUCCCUUUUCGAGUCCUACACCGUGUCCCCCGUCGAGUCCUACACCGUGUCCCUCUUCAAGUCCUACAUCGAGUCGGCAAGUUAUAGUUUUCAGCCGCGAGUUCGAGUCCGAGUCCAAUCAAGAGUGCUUUUGGAAAGUGUUUCAUAAUAGAUCGAAUUUUGUUUAGAGAUCAAGUUGUUCGGAAAGUUGAACAAAAAAGAAAGGAAAGAAAAAAAAAGGAAAGAAGGAAAGAAAAAAAAACGAAAAAAAGAGAGAAAGAGUUCGAGUCAGUUUCGGACCUGAGUCCGAGUAGAAUUUUAGUUUCGGGUGGGUUUGACCCGUGUUCAGUAAAACGGGCGUAUCUUUUGCGUACCAACUCGGAUUUGGACGUUCUUGGACUUUUUGGAAAGCUCACGACGAGGCGCAUCAGGAAAUUCGGUUUGUAAGGUGGACUUUCGGAGCUUCCAAGUUUCUGCAUCCGUUUUCCGGCGUCGCUGCAGCCCGGUGUUUCUCAGUUUUCUCCACCGUCCGACAUCCGUUUUGAGUGAUCUUGCCCUUGCUGGAAAGCUUGUGUCGAUACGCUUCUAACCCAUAUUUUUCUGAAUUUUUCUUACUGCAGCCUUUGCUGUUCUUCGACAGACCGACGUACAGUUUUCCGGUCCUUCUUUUCCGUGAGUUUCUGGGGUUAAAAAAAAAGAAAAAAAAAGAAGAAGAAAAGAAUAAGAAGCCAAACAGAAGGCCACACAAAGAAAAAAAAAGAAAAAAAAAUCCCAGGGAUUUACUUGUUGUGCUAUCUUUUGAUCUAUCUAUUACUACCUUCUUCAGUAUCUAGGCUUACAUUAUUUCUGUAAUUCGUUCUUAUCGACUCCAGCAGUUAGGACUAGCAUUAUUGAGCAUAUUUUCAACUUUGCAUUGCUGAUUUGAUUAUUUGCUAUUCCUUGCUACUCACAAAAGCCUCCAAGCUCCACAGAUUCUACACUUAGGUUGGUUUGUUACCGAGGCAUCGAUACAUUUAAUCUUCAGAGGGCUUGGUCACGCCGCUGGCCAUCACCUUCCUGUUUUGCAUGGUAAAAACUUGUAAGAACUUAAUUUUUAGCUUGAGAGUUGAGCGACUUGUAGCCACAUCCUAUUAGUUGAUAGGAACAUACUCCUGUGUUUUGUUUCUUGUCUUAUACUAACCAUGACAGGACUUACACAAAGGAUGGAAAAUAGGCCUAUGCUAUCAAGUGAUCGACAUGAGCGUUUUUCACCACAUCCAUCCUCCUCGUCUCUUGUUGACAUUGGCAAGGAAAAGGUAUAUCGCAAUCCUUGUAAUGUCAAUAAUUGUUUUGGACCUUUCUUUGAUGGAAAUAAUGAUGCUGAAGCUUAUAUUGAUUGGGAAAUAGCUCUAAUUGAGCAAUUCACAUGCUUCCAUGUACUAGAUAGUCGUAAGGUCCAAAUUGCUAGUAUAGAUUUCGUUUUGAUGCAUUAUCAUGGUGGAAUGAGAUAGUUAGAGAAAAGAAAAUUCCCCACACUUGGGUUGAUAUGAAGAAAAUCAUGAGAGAAAAAUAUGUUCCUUUUAAUUAUGCAAAUAACUUGCGCUCACAGCUACGACGUUUGACACAAGAUGAUAAAUCUGUUGAUGAUUACUACCAUGAGUUCCAAGUUAUAAGAUUGCGGUC
rnacentral:lncRNA from 1 species